CGUUUCCGUGCAUUUCACAGUCAGUGGUGAGCUUUUAGUAACAUCUUUCGUCGUCGUAGUGCUAUUAAAUUCUGCAUGCUUUUUUAGAUGAACCGCUCGAGACUCACUACUCGCUAUUGUGUCGAGUACUCUAUACCAUAAGUAAUUUUUGUAUAUGCAGUUUUUUCACUUUAAACUUACUUCGAAACGCCAGUUUAGAAUUAGUAUCAAAAUUAUGGAAUUUUUUGGAAAGUGUUUUCUACUUUUUACUGCCGCAGCUGUUUUUCUCAUGCAAUCCCAUAUCGCUGCAGGGCAAAUGGUUCUCUUCCCUUUGUCUCCGCUCAUUUCCGUACCUGGAAUUGGAUUGCCUCUGUCAUAUGCUAGGGUUUACCGACGACCUUUCUGCCGGUGGAUGAACGGAAACUGUUUAUGGCGUGGGCUCCAAAGCUCCAAAGUCGCUGCGUGGAUGAUGUUGCUUGUGGAUGGCAUCACUACUGCUGCUUUGACGGAUGUAGUAAUGUCUGCAAACGUCGUUUUUUAUUUAAAUAGUUAUAUUUGUAGAUGUAUCGCCACAACAAACUCUAUCAUGAAGCAACGAUAAAUCAGUUUUGCUAAAACGCGUAUUCGCCGCGUACUCUUUUACUGGGCGCAGCACAACUCGAUGAUGACUCGCGUUGCUUUUGAUUUACUGUAAAUAUCUCUUAAAUUUCUCUGUUAUUCUGUAAUUCAGAUAAAGACCCAAA